GGAGUCUGGUGGGGUUGGAGGCUGGCCCCUUGCUCCAUCCCACUGGUCUGUCCCUAGGUGGAGAGGCAAGGCUGCUGGAAUCCUGGUUGGGAGUACAGGCACGGGACACAGAGUAUCUCAUCCUCAUCAGGACCUAACCUCGAACAUGGAGCCGGGCACUUGUGGCCGUGCUCCCUGCCCGCAAAGUCACGGUCCCUGCAUCCCCCAGUUGGCAGCCUCGCAAGGUUAAGAUGCGGCUUGAACCAUUCUGGGCCAUCUCCACCUGGGGCCCUGGAGUGACGACGGCCCCAUUGCGCAGCCAGGUGACAUCGGCAUCUGGUGGGGAGACUUCACACCGGAACGUGGCAUCAUCGCCCUCGUGGACAGUGAGUGGUGUCAGCUCCGAGACCAGCUUCACCAGCAGUGGCUCUAAGGGGCACGAGACUGCCCACCUGUGACAGUGACAGUGAAGAAGGCCGAGUCAUCUCCAGCAUCACAUACAAACUCGCCCCCGUCCUCGGGCUGAGCAGCAGGUAGCACCAGGCGGCAGCGUGGCCCAUCCCUCUCCAGCACCAGGGCCUCGCUCUCCUCCACUUCCAGCCCAUCCUUGUACCAGCGCACAGGGGCAUCCUCCCGAGACAGUUCACACAUCAGCACCACACACUCCAAGGUCACGGCGAUCAAGGUCACCUCAUCGCGAGGGUAUAUGAUCCGCACUGGGGGUUCUGCAGGGUGGGGACAACCACAGCCUGUCACAAGCUCACCGUCAGCCUCUCUGGAGCCAUUCGGCAGCAUGAAGUCCCUAUCACCCACAUAAUAAUGAGAAUAAUAAGUAAAAUAAUAAUAAG
rnacentral:lncRNA from 1 species